AUGCUUCCAAAGCAAGCACAUACACUAAAAAUUGGAAGCUACAGAGAAGAUUAACAUGGCCCCUGCACAAGGAUGACAUAAAAAUUCGUGAAGCAUUCCAUAUUUUA
rnacentral:snRNA from 1 species